rnacentral:tRNA from 1 species
ACUCACUUGGUGAAAUGGGUAAACACGAUAGCCUCAAAAGCUAUUCCCACAGAAAAGGGUUAUCGGUUCGAGUCCGAUAGUGAGUG